UAAAGUAAAGUCAGUGUUUUUUCCAGCAAAAUAACGUUCGUAAGUUUUGCUAAGGUGUCUGAAUACUUUUUGGGGCCGCUGUACACCUGCGUAAACGUCCGCAUGCUCUUUCUCAACUGGUUUAACAUGCUUUCUGUAACCGCGUUCCAAGAGCGGAUGACAGAUAAACACUCGCAUAUACAAACACUGUUUCUGGAGAACAGUGAUUUCAUUGUGCGCAUGUUUCAUUCAGAGGAACUGUAAACAAACGAUUUAGAUCACAACCAGGACUUGGCGCUCUGGGCCUUUGUAUUUCCUCCGAAAGCUUUCAAGACUGUUUGCCAGGAUCGUUCAUCACCGGUGUCCCUGUCUCUUCGUCUUUCACCGCAGACGGAUAGAGUGAUGCUGAGCACUGGACAUGCAGAGACAAGGGUUGUGUUGUUUUUGAAGAGGAACACGGUCUGUCUGUCCACCAGCAGGUGAAGGAGACAAAGAAGAGUUGUAGCAUUCAUCCUUAUGUCUGAGUGAAGAAUAACCACACGGUGUGUUGACAGAGGUGAGAGGGAUGGGGUCGAAGGUCACACCUGCUGAUAAUUCAGCUGUCUGAACAGACAAUUCUCCCACAUGGAUGUACCUUAUUGAAACCGACAAAGAUGGGCUGAAAAAAAAUGGAAUCGUUGAAGUGACCAAUCAAACACAGAGGCAGCAGUAUGGACGUGGUUUUUGGGAACUGUUGAGAGGAUGUUGUGCUUCCUGUGCGAAUCAACUUCUGACCCAGUCUAUCCUCUCCACCUGGAACCAGACCACGUCUCCACUUUUCCUCUCUUCUACUUUCUCACUAUACUGUAGCUCCAUCCAACAAACAUAAUUGUUGUCUUAGUGCUGCAUGACUGCUUUGCCAGCAAAGACAACAGCCCUUUCUCCUGGGCUCCACUGUAUAAAAUCUGCUAUUCUGUGCACCCACGGUCUCUCAUCUGCUCUAAUUUGGGCUGACACCCCCCACUUUGAAGUCCAUGGGUGCUGUGAACCUGGGCCCACCCAACAAAAGCAGGCUGAUCCGAGACUGACGCUCCAGCAGACCCACUUAUGCUGACAUAGGAUUGGAAAAAAGACAAGGCCUUUUUUUUUUACCUAAGAAGCUUUCACGCUAGAGCUUCUCCUGCAGACCUAAGACAGUUUAACGUCAGUCAGUUUGGUUUGUUUCAUUGGCGUCAAAGCAAUAUGUUCCAAGUUGUGAAAGAGAACUGCUUUAGUACUAUAAUAUAAUUUUUUACAUUUCUUGCAUUUGUGGUAGAGAGAUGCAGUGUGCAACAUGUAAAGUUUUGGUGGCUAAUCUAGUAUGAGUCAUUAAAUAGAAAUGUGGUGAAACAAAUAUAAUGUUUAGAUUCAAAUGUGAGUAUUAGGUCAUUCGUAGGUCCGUUACGUCAUUAUUAGUGGCAAGAGUAAACAUGUCUGUUAAUAUGUUCAUCAUUCCAAAGAAAUCUUGAGCUUUUCUAAAAAUAUUUGGCAGAAAUCACUCAUUCGUGUCUACAUUCGACUCACAAUUUUUGUUUAUUUUGAAAGCCAAAGCUGCUCUUUUCUGUGGAAAUCCAUAGUGAUCACUGACUAUAAUAAUAAUAAUUAUAAUCACACAUUAUAGUCCUCUAGUGACCCAGAACUGCCAGUAACAAGUCUAGGAUAACAAAUAAUUUUUUAUAACUUUCAGAGUUGUUUUGACCACUGUAAAUUUGAGUAAAGACAAUGUACAUUCAUGCUCUUAACUGCAUAACAGUUCCAAAAAUAGCUAUGUUUAUGGACUGUACCUAUUUUUCAGUUUCAUUUUGUCAAAUCUGUGUUAAUGUUGUCUCCUUGCUAAAGUAUAAAGAGUCUGUAUGACGCCGUGGGCCUAUAAAAACUGUGGUUUUACAAUUUCCUCCAGGACACAGGCACCGCUUGUUGGUGAUGGAACAUUGGGAAGAACCGGGAUGUGGUUGGCAUGAAGUGGGACGGGAUGGGCGAUUGAAAGGCCUAUUCAUACCACUUACCACUGACCUACAGUUGAGGUCUGUUUAGCUAAAGCUCAGCGAAAGAGCCAAUGUCAAAAAGAGAGAUGGGCAAAGAGCAAGAGAAGCAUGUUGUGUUGAUAAGUGCCCUCAGCAUCAACAUUUAAUCCAUUAAACCGGCCAUAAUGUCUAUUCUUCAGCCUGACACAAUGCCAGUGAACGUAUUUAACUUCACAAAACAAAAGAAUGUCUGGAAAAUGCGUCUGAAUCGAACCGUGUCAGACCUGAAAGACAUGCAUUCUCCCGUCUCCCCAAUCUCUGACCUCUCUCUCUCUCUCUCUCCCCCGAAACGUUAGGAUAUGCAAAACCGCCAUCCUCGUGAUUUGCAUGUGGUUAGAGGCCAUGAGGUUGCAGGCAGAAGACUCUUUGUAGUGUGAUGGCGCUGGAAUGUGUCUGUGUUCACGGUGCUAAUACGUCCGCGCGAGGAAACAAGGCGAGUUCCAACAGUUCGCCCCCUAAGGUCCUUUACUGGCUUUGCCAUGUGUUUGUUUUGAGAGCUCUGAAUGAAACCAUGCACUCUUGAUGACACCACCCCGGCGUAAUGCCGUCUAGCACCUAGAGGAUUACUUUGUUUCUUUAUUCACCCCUCCACCCAUCACGUACGGUACAGUGGGUGCAAAGGGUUUAUCCACCAACUGCUUCUAUCCCAGCACCCUCAGGCCCACACAGACGAAGAAAAUAGAGGUGUGGAAAACGCAGCUUUUCUGCUGAUCUGUUCCCGAGACCAUUCGGCUCAGUUCUGCGGCCAAAACAAGCUCGCUGUCAAGUCUCGGAAAAUUUUCGGGGCUAAAAUCGGAGAAGCUGAUAUAGCGCUGUCUUGCCAACUGGUACAUGGCUGCAGAAGGGCUUAUAGAAGAAAAUGACGGAAAGAAGGAGCGGGGGGAGAAAAACAGGAUGGGUAGUUCUAAUUUGGGGACUAUUCAUUUGGGCCUCAAUCAUUCUCUUAGACCAGCAGAUAUCAAGAUCUGCCAAAAUGUUCCCUUAACAAGCACUUCAUCUCCAUUACCCAAUUACGGUGUCUCAGGGCAAUUUGAGUCAGCAUAGCUCAAGGUAAAACGUAUAAUUUAAAAAUAAGUUAUUUAUAUCUGGUGAAUGACUCUUGGCAUGGCGGUGAAUGGCAGAAGUUGUCCAUAAGAAUAAGAAUGGGUUUAAAGAACGAAGCGCUGGAUUUAUUCCCAUGGAUCUUAAAACCGGGCAAAUCGUACCAAGCAGUAUUUACAUUUGUUUAACCAAAAGCCAUUUAGAUGUGCAAUCUUGAGCGAGCUUUGCAUAUUAAAAUGAAGGCAGUGUUUAGCAGCGGGGUUGUAACAGUGCUGCCAGAGGCUCAUCUGGACUACUGUUAAACUCUGAUGUUUUGCUCCGGGGCUACUCCGUGACACAUGACUGCCUGAUCGCCUCUUUGCAUAUGUGAACGAAUGCGAGCGUGGAUAUAUCAUCCUGCAAUAAACCAGAGAAUUACCUCAGCGCGCAAAAACUCAGCAUGUUCCAUUCACUACAUCUGGUUCACUUUAGCUCCAGCAUCCCAAGGAGCUUUCACCUCCAAAAGCGUCCACACACAGAGCGUAUUAGAUUUGUGUGUGCGCAGGGGGCUGUGUUGCAAUGGCUUACGUUGAAUUGGCUCAACUUGAGGUUUUAUGGCUAAUGUUUUAUUUAUCAAUAACUUCAUUGUGUUAUGCUUGAAAGAGCCAUCCAUAUUCACAGGAAGAACCGAAGGGAAUAGAAGCGUCCAGCUCCACUUUGUUGGACCUCGUCAGCACAUCUCCCUUUCAAGUGCUCCACCAUACAGAGUUGUGGUUUGUGAUCCAAGCUUGCAAUAAAAGAGGAACUGAUGAUGAA